GCCUGGGUAGCUCAGUCAGUUGAGUGUCUGACUCCUGAUUUCGGCCCAGGUCAUGAUCUCACAGGUUGUGAGUUCGAGCCCCACCUCAGGCU
rnacentral:tRNA from 1 species